AUACGUAGGGGGCAAGCGUUGUCCGGAAUCACUGGGCGUAAAGCGCACGUAGGCGGUUUUCCAAGUUGGAGGUGAAAUCCCUGGGCUCAACCCGGGAACUGCCUCCAAAACUGGAUCACUCGAGUCCGAGAGAGGUGAGUGGGAUUUCCAGUGUAGAGGUGAAAUUCGUAGAUAUUGGAAAGAACACCAGUGGCGAAGGCGGCUCACUGGCUCGGUACUGACGCUGAGGUGCGACAGCGUGGGGAGC
rnacentral:rRNA from 1 species